CGUUUUAAGAUUUCUGCAUAGAAAUUUCGCAUAGCUUGGGUCUGAUUUCCUUAUAUUUUAUUCGGAUCUGAUUGGAACUGUCCUUUUCUUAUUUUUUUAUUUGCCUUUACCAUUUAACAUAACUUUGUCAAGUAAACUGGAGCAUCGGUCCGGGGGUGUCUGUCAUCCGGUCUGAUUUUCUGAUUUUUGUUUUAUUUUCAAUAUAUUCAUA